CCUACGGGACGCAGCAGUGGGGAAUAUUGCACAAUGGGGGGAACCCUGAUGCAGCAACGCCGCGUGAGUGAAGAAGGUUUUCGGAUUGUAAAGCUCUGUUAGCAGGGAAGAGGAAGGACGGUACCUGCAGAGGAAGCCACGGCUAACUACGUGCCAGCAGCCGCGGUAAUACGUAGGGAGCGAGCGUUGUCCGGAAUUACUGGGUGUAAAGGGAGCGUAGGCGGGGAUGCAAGUUGGGUGUCAAAACUACCG
rnacentral:rRNA from 1 species